CAUGUACUCCCUCCGUCCGGAAUUACUUGUCACAAAAAUGAUAGAAAUGGAUGUAUCUAGAAUUAAAAUACAUCUAGAUACAUCCAUUUCUCGGACAAGUAUUUUCGGACGGAGGGAGUAAGUU
rnacentral:pre_miRNA from 1 species